rnacentral:lncRNA from 1 species
AAAAAUUCAAUCCAAAUUUGGGUUCAAAGAGCCUCCAGAAUUCCAUAUUACACAAUCAAUACAUAAGCUUAAAAAAAAAAAAGCUUUAAAAAAAAAAACCAGAUUAGGGGUUUUUUCAUAUCGCCAAACCUGUGCAUGCUGCUGCUUCCUAUGUGCAUGCAGCUUCUCUCUCUUACUCAAUACCCAAAUGGGUUUUUUGUAUCCUCAAACCCAUAGUUCCUCUGUGUGUGCUGCUUCUCUCUCUCAGUCAAUCUCCUAACAAGUUCUCUUAUUUCCUAAACCCAUAGUUCCUCGGUGAUGCUCCGUCUGUGCAUGCUGCUUCUCUCUCUGUAUGUGCUGCUUUUCUCUAUGUAAGUGCUGCUUCUCAGGUUCUCCCUCUCUGCGUGCUGCUCCAAUUGGGGUUUUAUUCUUUCUCUCUGCGUGCUAUGAAUGUCCAGACCUCCAGAUGCUUAUUGCACUUGUUUGAACUUUGAAGUAAUGGCUCAUUAACUCACCAUACCGUAGUUAUCAUAUCUC